rnacentral:rRNA from 1 species
GGAGGGGAUUAGUGGCGAACGGGUGAGUAACACGUGGGCAAUCUGCCCUGCACUCUGGGACAAGCCCUGGAAACGGGGUCUAAUACCGGAUACGACAUCCUCGGGCAUCCGAUGGAUGUGGAAAGCUCCGGCGGUGCAGGAUGAGCCCGCGGCCUAUCAGCUUGUUGGUGAGGUAACGGCUCACCAAGGCGACGACGGGUAGCCGGCCUGAGAGGGCGACCGGCCACACUGGGACUGAGACACGGCCCAGACUCCUACGGGAGGCAGCAGUGGGGAAUAUUGCACAAUGGGCGCAAGCCUGAUGCAGCGACGCCGCGUGAGGGAUGACGGCCUUCGGGUUGUAAACCUCUUUCAGCAGGGAAGAAGCGCAAGUGACGGUACCUGCAGAAGAAGCGCCGGCUAACUACGUGCCAGCAGCCGCGGUAAUACGUAGGGCGCGAGCGUUGUCCGGAAUUAUUGGGCGUAAAGAGCUCGUAGGCGGCUUGUCGCGUCGGUUGUGAAAGCCCGGGGCUUAACCCCGGGUCUGCAGUCGAUACGGGCAGGCUAGAGUUCGGUAGGGGAGAUCGGAAUUCCUGGUGUAGCGGUGAAAUGCGCAGAUAUCAGGAGGAACACCGGUGGCGAAGGCGGAUCUCUGGGCCGAUACUGACGCUGAGGAGCGAAAGCGUGGGGAGCGAACAGGAUUAGAUACCCUGGUAGUCCACGCCGUAAACGGUGGGCACUAGGUGUGGGCAACAUUCCACGUUGUCCGUGCCGCAGCUAACGCAUUAAGUGCCCCGCCUGGGGAGUACGGCCGCAAGGCUAAAACUCAAAGGAAUUGACGGGGGGCCCGCACAAGCGGCGGAGCAUGUGGCUUAAUUCGACGCAACGCGAAGAACCUUACCAAGGCUUGACAUACACCGGAAAGCUCUGGAGA